GAUCACACUGGUUGAAGUCUGUCUGGUCUCUGUCUUCAGUAAAUUAGUACCUAUUUCAGAAAAGAUGACUAAUAAAAAUAACGACCUUCAGGCACCUCCUAGCUUCUAAACAUCGAAUCAGAAGAAAAAUUUUGUUUGCUGGGAAAACUGGUUAUCUACAUGUAGAAGAACGAAACUAGAUCCGUCUCUCACCUGUACAAUAGUCAACUCAGAAUGGAUCAUGGACCUAGGAAGUAGACCAGAAACUUGGCAAAUGCUAGAAGAAAACAGGGGAAAUACUUUAAUAUAGAGGCUACAGCUAUGACAUCUUGAGUGGACUCAGGUAGUUCAGAAAGUAAUAAGAAGAAUCCGUAAAUGGGAUAGCAUCACAUUGAACAGCUUCUGCACAGCAAAAGAAACCACAGCAUGAAGAGAUAUUCUAACAGAAUGGGAGAAGAUUCUUGCCAGCGACUUCUCAGACAGAGGGUUACUAUCCUGUAUACAUAAAGAACACAAACAAAUUCAACACCCAAACAACAGCCCAGUCAAGUAAUGGCGGAUGAACAGACCCUUCUCAGAAGAAGAAAAUUCAGAUGGUCAACAAUUUUAUGAAAAUACUCAGCAUCUUUGGCCAUCAGGGAAAUUAAAAUAACAACUACACUGAGAUUCCAUCAGAACAGCAGUCAUCAAGAAUACAAAC
rnacentral:lncRNA from 1 species